CCUACGGUGGGCAGCAGUGGGGAAUAUUGGACAAUGGGCGAAAGCCUGAUCCAGCCAUGCCGCGUGUGUGAAGAAGGCCUUCGGGUUGUAAAGCACUUUCAGUGGGGAAGAAAGCCUUGGGGCUAAUACCCUCGAGGAAGGACAUCACCCACAGAAGAAGCACCGGCUAACUCCGUGCCAGCAGCCGCGGUAAUACGGAGGGUGCGAGCGUUAAUCGGAAUUACUGGGCGUAAAGCGCGCGUAGGCGGUCUGAUAAGCCGGUUGUGAAAGCCCCGGGCUCAACCUGGGAACGGCAUCCGGAACUGUCAGGCUAGAGUGCAGGAGAGGAAGGUAGAAUUCCCGGUGUAGCGGUGCAAUGCGUAGAGAUCGGGAGGAAUACCAGUGGCGAAGGCGGCCUUCUGGACUGACACUGACGCUGAGGUGCGAAAGCGUGGGUAGCAAACAGGAUUAGAUACCCGUGUAGUC
rnacentral:rRNA from 1 species